rnacentral:rRNA from 1 species
UACGUAGGGUGCAAGCGUUGUCCGGAAUUAUUGGGCGUAAAGAGCUCGUAGGCGGUUUGUUGCGUCGGCUGUGAAAUCCCGAGGCUCAACCUCGGGUCUGCAGUCGAUACGAGCAAACUAGAGUGUUGCAGGGGAGACUGGAAUUCCUGGUGUAGCGGUGAAAUGCGCAGAUAUCAGGAGGAACACCGGUGGCGAAGGCGGGUCUCUGGGCAACAACUGACGCUGGAGGAGCGAAAGCGUCGGGGAGCGAACAGGAUUAG